AGGCUGCGCAGCCAGGAGGAUGAGUGAGCUUUGGAGCUAUUAUGGUUUAUUUUGCUUCGUGUGUUUCCUACUAUGUUAGUUUUCAGCAUUUUGGAAGAAAUCUUAUGCAGGAUUUUGAUUUUGUUUUCAAUUCAGUACCAUUGGAUCUAGACUAUGUUACUAAUCUAGCUAUGUUGAAUGACAUGAAGUUCUGUCCACUCGUGUUUGGUUUUACCAUAUUUCUUUGCCCCUUCCGACCAUAUUUCCUUUUUCAUUCUGUAGGAAUCUUGUUCAGCCUAGAAAUAACUAAAAUUUACAUUCGUAACUUGUGAUUUGAGUUUCAUAUGCGACACACAGAAAGAAUACUUGACUGAAGAAUGAGCAGCUUUCAUUUUAUGAAACAAAUAAAUUCCUGCUUUUAC
rnacentral:lncRNA from 1 species